rnacentral:lncRNA from 1 species
GCAGGUACCAUAUCAGGAUGGGCGAGCUGUCUUCAGCUAAGCAAAUUAACCUGUUGAGAAACAAAAGAGAAUGCAAGUUAACAGGUUCUGAUUUUGCCUAUGAAAAUGAGCUUCAGAUGUGAGGUUGCGAUCUAUGUAAAUUAAAUGUAACCCUUCAGUAUCAGAAGAUAAUUCCACUUGGGCCACAUAAGGACAAAAAAACGUGCUAACGGUCCAUGCUGCAACACCAGAUUAAGAGUGUCAGCUUCCUUCCUGUUCCUCUGAAACAGCUGGUGCUGGCCUCCGCCUUUCACUGAAUGGUGGCCCAGGUGGGCCAGAGCUGCGAUGCAGGCUGUGAGAGGAUGCAGAGAGAGAGGGUAAGGGGUACUUGUGGAAGAAAGGGUGAGGGGAGCUUAUGUCCCUAAAACAGCUUUCUGAACAUGUGUGGGUCAAGCCCCUUGCCAUUCCUGGAGUAAGAAAAAAAGAUCCACCAAGAGGUACAGGGAGGGACUGAAUUUUUUUAAGCCCCCGUAGACAGAGGGCAAGUGAGGGUUAUGUGCAGUGCUCCAGUUUUCUUUGCUCUGAGGAGGCCAAGAAAUAGGAAUGAUAACAUUCAUUUUUCCUCGUUAUCAUCUUUUGUCUUUCUGUGCAAAACGUUAGAUAAAGUUUGAGCCAUAACAAUGGAGAAAGAGCUAUUCCAAAUAUUCCUCAUGUGGGUGCUAGAUGGCGCCAUAGAUUAAUGCUCCAGGCCUUUAUCUAGGGAUGUUCUGGGGCCAACUCAGCAUGGUCAGGUAACAACUUAGCAAUUAGUUUGCUUGUGGGAAAUUGGAUCAACAAAGAUAUUCAGAUUCUUAAAUCCUCCUCGUUUCCUAGACUACGCUGGACAUCUUCGAGGACUCAGAAGUCUAGCUGGAGCCAUGCCACAAUAAAUGGGGCCACAGCCUUCAGUGGACACCAGUACCUGCUGCACCAGGAGCCUCUCACUUACUCUGAUUGUUAGACUCUAAAAAGCUAGGUGACUCAAACAACAGAAGUCAUUCACUUGCCUUCACAUAUCCAAGUGGAGAAAAGUACAGCUGCUGGAAGUGCACCAUGCUGAAACAGUGCUCACAGAUGUGAGACCAGCAGCAGCGGCAGAAAGGCUUUGUCAACACCAGCAAAUCACUGUUUCUACCUCUGCAAGGUCAGCUGCUGAAGGCAACGUGUUCAAGACCACAGCUCCACAACCGGUGAGGAACAUUAAUUGUCAGGAAACACUUAGAAAUGACACAGUGUUAGUUAGGCAAAAAAUGUUCUCAUGACAGAGCCAAUGUCUGAAUUUAAGGCCAGCCUUGCAUCUAUAGGGUGAAUAGUUUGUGAGUAACUUCAGUGGGGUUAGGAUGAAGCCCAGGAGUUUCUUACUCAUUACUUGCUGGGUUAAUGACACGAUGAACAUCUGCAGAACAUGUUCCUGUGUCAUCACUGUAUUUCCUGAAUUUGUCCUCUAGUAUUUUGGAAGAAUUUAUCCUUUGGAAAAGCUUUAUAUAACAAAUUGAAAAGCAUUGUCUGCAGUUAUUUAGAAAUAGUGUGAAUAAAGAUAGGACCAAAUUUGUAAAAAAUGGUUUG